rnacentral:rRNA from 1 species
ACGAACGCUGGCGGCGUGCUUAACACAUGCAAGCCGAACGGAAAGGCCCUGCUUGCAGGGUGCUCGAGUGGCGAACGGGUGAGUAACACGUGGGUGAUCUGCCCCUUACUUUGGGAUAAGCCUGGGAAACUGGGUCUAAUACUGGAUAGGACCAUGCUGUAGGUGGUGUGGUGGAAAGAUUAGUUUCGGUAAGGGAUGAGCUCGCGGCCUAUCAGCUUGUUGGUGGGGUAAUGGCCUACCAAGGCGUCGACGGGUAGCCGGCCUGAGAGGGUGGACGGCCACAUUGGGACUGAGAUACGGCCCAGACUCCUACGGGAGGCAGCAGUGGGGAAUAUUGCACAAUGGGCGCAAGCCUGAUGCAGCGACGCCGCGUGGGGGAUGACGGCCUUCGGGUUGUAAACUCCUUUCAGCCAUGACGAAGCCCUUGUGGUGACGGUAGUGGUAGAAGAAGCACCGGCUAACUACGUG